AACUACUCANUAUACGGAAUAACUGCGGAAAGUGGGUAUACGUAUGUGUCUGAGGGACAAGGAGCAUCGCUACGGAGGGCCGCGUUGGAUUACUAGUUGUGGGGUACGGCUACCAGCGACGAUCAUAGCUGGUCUGAAGGAUGAUCACCACACUGGGACUGAAACACGCCAAACUCCUACGGGAGCACAUGGGAAUAUUGGACAUGGGGGAAACCCUGAUCACAUGCCGCGUGGGUGAUGAGCCUUCGGGUUGUAAAGCCCUUUCGGCGGGGACGAUGAUGACGGUACCCGCAGAAAAGUCCCGGGCUAAACUUCGUGCCAGCAGCCGCGGUAAUACGAAGGGGGCUAGCGUUGUUCGGAAUUACUGGGCGUAAAGGGCGCGUAGCGGCUUGUCUAGUCGGGCGUGAAAAAGCCUGGGCUUAACCCGGGAACUGCGCUCGAUACUGAUAGGCUUGAGUAUGGGAGAGGAUGGUGGAAUUCCCAGUGUAAGGUGAAAUUCGUAGAUUUUGGGAAAGAACACCGGGUGGCGAAGGCGGGCAUCUGGACCAACAAACUGGACGCUGAGGCGCGAAAGCGUGGGGAGCAAACAGGGAUUAGAUA
rnacentral:rRNA from 1 species